rnacentral:lncRNA from 1 species
GACAAAACCACAAUCAAAGAGUACCCAUGGAGGGACCCAUGGCUCCAUCUGCAUAUGCAGCAGAGAGUUGUCUUAUCUAGCUUCAAUGGGAGGGGAGACUCUUGGUCUUAUGAAGGCUUGUUGCCCUAGCAUAGGGGAAUGCUAGAGGGGUGAGGUGGGAGUGGGUGGGUAGGUUGGGGAACACACUCAUAGAGGCAGGGGGUGGGAUGAGGUAGUUUGCAGAGGGAAGACUGGGGACAAGGGACAACAUUUGAAAUGUAAAUAAAUAAAGUAACCAAUUAAUUAAAAUGUGGGGGCUAUUAGACAUUCUUAUAUCAUCUAAAGGCCACCUGGAGCUCUGGGUUAUGUAAAUCCAAAGAGAGCAGGUGCUCUAGUCAAGAAAACAGGAACUCUGUUCAGGGAACAGCUUCAAAAAGAAUGGUGAUUUAUAGAGGUAGAGGAUAUAUGUUAAUAGAGGACACUUGGCAUCUUCUUCUGUCUACUACACAUGCCCCAGGCACAUGCAGCAGCACGCACCCACUCACAGACAUAUUCACAUACAUGUAAAGAAGUAACUAGGUAGAUCCUUUAAAACUAAAACAAAGAGUUGAGUUACAGGCUCUGUCAACUCAUUUACUGAACGUCUUCUAAGAAAAGCACCAUUCUCAUAUAGAUAAUAAAGCCUCAUUUCUCUACCCCAGGUGGUCUCCAUACUUUUUUUUUUAGAUCCUGGAUUCUAUGAUGUUCUUUUAGAAGUAUGUAGCUGCCUCUUGUGGAAGAUAGACAUGCAUGUUCUGACAGCUCAAAGAAAAAAAUUAUUUAUGGA